CGGCGGGCGCAGGGGGCGCAGCGCCCGGCAAGGCGCCCGCACCCGCGCCGCCGCUGCAGCUCGUCAUCCUCGACUGACAGGAGCCGCCGCGACCGCCGCACCCGCCGCACCCCUACACGAUGGAGGCGCUGCUCGGCUGAGCGCCCGCCCUUGUACAUUCGCCGUGUAAAUACGUCCGCCGCCCCCCGCGACCCCCGAGCGCACCCGCGCCCCCUGCGCCCGCCGCGCGCUCCAAACGAAGAUUGUAUUUUUGGUAAUCGAAUCGCCGAGAACGGAUUCUGUAGAUAAUAAUUUUAAAACUAUAUUGUUCUUAUGUGGUUUGAUCUGGCGACGAGCAAAAUAAUGUAUUUGAUACAUAAAACGAUAUGUAAGUCUAUUUCAUUCGGAGAUUCAUUGUAGGAUAAUUUACAAUUUUUUUCAUAAAUAAAGCACAAAUCGGAU